CGAACGGGUGAGUAAUGCGUGACCAACCUGCCCCAUGCUCCAGAAUAGCUCUUGGAAACGGGUGGUAAUGCUGGAUGCUCCAACUUGAUGCAUGUCUUGUUGGGAAAGUGUUUAGUGGCAUGGGAUGGGGUCGCGUCCUAUCAGCUUGUAGGCGGGGUAAUGGCCCACCUAGGCUUCGACGGGUAGCCGGCCUGAGGGGGCGGACGGCCACAUUGGGACUGAGAUACGGCCCAGACUCCUACGGGAGGCAGCAGCC
rnacentral:rRNA from 1 species